UAUAUUAAAAAUGAGCAAUACCAACGGAAAUCCUCCACGCAAAAAUUAUACUGAGAGAGAGAGAGAAAUGUUUGCUGUUGGAAAUAAUUGGAAAAUACAAGCAUAUUAAAUUGAAAACAAAUAAUGUACCAAUGCUAUGUCCACCAACCAAAACAAUGAAACCUGGGAAAAAAUAGCGCUGAAUUUCCCAGAACUCCCAAGCAGCUGAACACUGCAUAUAUAAACUUAAAAAGGGUCACUAGCCAAAAAGUAGCAGAGGAAAAUAUUCAAAAAUAUAAUGAGCAGAAGGUUUUGGACCAGUUGAAGAGAGACCAAACUGCGGACAAAAAAGACAUACUUGCAACAGGUGGUGGCACAUUUAGGCCUCGUCUCACAGAUGUAGGGGCACAAAUGUUGAGUUUGAUUGGCAAUCAAAUCCAACCUUUACCCAACAGUUGUGACAGUGCAUCUGGUUUCUUCACAUCUGUUGCACAAGACAGUCAAGUGGAAGUAGAUUACCUACAAUUGGAAGACACAUAGCAGACGUCCAAUGUACCCUCUACUUCCACUGUGCUGCUCAGUACACCCACGACAACUGCUGUCCUGCCCAAGAAGACAGCCAAGAUGUCUCAGGCUCGUUCAAAAAAUAAAAAAGUAAAAGAUGUAGGGAGCGAAACCCUUAAUGUAUCUUUUACAAAAAAAAUUGAAACAGCAAGACUAGAAAAAAGAAGUAAGAUAGUAUUUUUCAACAAGAAAAAAAGAAAUUUUAGAAGUAGAGCUUCAAAUAAAAAAAUUCGAUCUCAAUCAAUUAUUCGGUAAUAGUGGUUAGGUAUGUACCUAAUAAAGUAAUUUUAAAUAAAAAUUGUAAUUUCUUUAAAUAAUAAAAUUAAUAAAAAAUG